CCUCCGGUCUUCCCCCUGCUCUCACUCUUGUCUCCCUUUUUUGUCUCAUUCUGCAGCUUCAUUCAAGCAUUUUAAAUUGCUAGGUAUUCCAGGUAGUUAGCUUAUCUAUGGACUCCCCGCAAAAAAAAAAAGCUUAUCUAUGGACUACACCUACAUUUGAUGUUAGAACUCUGAUACUAAUUUAUGUUGUUGCAUAGGUGAAUGGUGCUUUAGCUUCAAUGACCACUUUUAUUGCUGAAUAUUUUUCCCAUUGAAAGUGUCAAAGAAUAUACAACUUGGUAUGGAGAAGUUUUCUUAUGGGAAAAUAAAGAUUUUUUUUAUGCAGAACUAUUAGGGCUCCCGCAGCUGUAUCAGUCGGUUUUUGUUCUCAAAUUUUUACUUUGCUUUUUUUUGGCAAAAAAAUUGGAUGUAUGAAUCUGAGAUCUGGACCUCGAGUUCUCUGCUUUUCUUUUCAUCUGCAGUCGCAAGGAAGAGUAGAAAGAUCAGGCAGAGAGGGUUUCACAUACCCCUUCUACACUGACAAGUCUUUGCUUUUCAGGAUUGCCAUGGGAGCUUUGGAUGGCGGUCUUGAUAUUGCGCACAUUGACAAGAGAUUGCUGGCUUCGAGAAGGAUAAGAAGCAGCUGGGCGGUGAGAUUCACCGCAAAUACAUCUAUGAAGGUCAUGUUGCUGACUACAUGAAGUCAAUAGCUGAUGAGGAAUCUAAGAAGUACCAAUCUCACUUCAGUGAGUACAUCAAGAAGAAUAUUGCGGCCGAUGACAUGGAAGCACUGUACAAGAAGGUUCAUGCUACCAUUCGUGCUUAUCCUACCAUGGCAAAAUCAACGAAGGAACCUCCAAAGACGCACAAGAGUUAGAUAUAUCUUGCUUUUUAUUAAAGUCAAACAACUGAUAAUAAAGUUUAUCAAUAUGUAGUAAUGUGUAUAAAUGUUUUCUCAUACUCAUGUAGUCCGUUCAUUCCUAAACUAUAUGUUCUUCUUUUGUUAAAACCUUGAAAUAUUAAGAUGUUAGGGUAAAUAAAUUCCUUCAGAAUCAAUAAUAGAAAUGUUUUGCUAUGCAACAAGAUACAGUUGUAUGCAAAAAAAUAAUCUUGUCUUAUAUAGAGUUAUAUAUCAAAACUAUGGAUUUUCUAUGCACUUCCUGCAAUCAUUAAUGUUCAUUGUCUUUGUUCGGAUUUUGUUGGGCACCUGUGGCAACGCGCUGUCGGACACGACAGACGCUGCCAGGUCUGCGUCGAUAUCGUGCUCACGGAGCCUAGCCUGGCCUCCGCGUUGUGUUCUCCAUCUUGCAGUGCAUGAUGAACUACAUGCUAAAGUUCAGCUGAAGUUCCCCUGUUAUCUUCUACUACAAGAGUUAUGUCGAUUUGUACUACUUGGCUGCAAAUGUAUGCUGUUUGCAUCACCAUACGGAUAGUGGUUUGUUCUUCUGGCAUUAUUCAUGGUUCUCAUCAUAGCCAUACUGAAUGAUGGCAAGUGGCAUCUCUGAAUUUAUCAUACGAAGUAUGACUUUAUGAGCUUGCUUGGCUACUGACCUGCUGUGUGGGAAGGGGCAUCCUUUUACCAGAGCUAUAUUGAUUUUAAUAUGCUCCAUUUCCUUCAGAAUUGACAGGUUUUCUGAAUAUACUCGCAAGUCGCAACCAUGGCCUUACAGUGCUACACGCCUCUGCUGAAGCCCCAACUGGCCCAAGUCUCGGUCAACCCUUCCAUUAACACGAUACAGAUUCCAGGUUUGCUUUGCCUCGCACGAAUAUGCUCGUUCCAUGACAUCUCGCUGGAAUAUGUACCAGAUAACAUGUGUUGAUGUGUGGAUGCACUGGCUAGCGAUUAGUUAAUCUAAUACUCUUCUGAUAAUUAUCUUCUCUGAAUAUACACAAAAUAAUGGCCUUGCAGAGUCAGUGCUCCGCCCCUCUGCUGAAGCCCUUACUGGCCCAAGUCUCGGCCAGCCCUUCUCUAAAUCAAUGCAGAUUGCAGAUUUGCCUCGCACCAAUAUGCUCCUUGCAUAAGCUAGUAAUCUCUGGCCAUAUUUCAUUUUUUAUCCUACUUGCGUCAUGCCUGAUGACUUUUUUUGUGCCACCAAUUUUAGUGUAUGUUCGAGUAGCAGAUUUUAUGGAUUUUUUUUAUGUCAUUGCUUCAUCAAAUGGAAAUUUAAGUAACGGGAGAUUCGUUAAAUGGAAAUUUAAACCAGUUUAUGAUUUGGUGAGGAAUCUAUAUAUAUUAGUGUGUGUUGUUACGUUGAGCUCUAAAUAACGGGGAGCACACAAAAUUACAUUCAAUCCAAAUAGGGCUGGUGUUUGCAUCUGUAUUCUGUAGUUCUGUAUGCUGAAUUCAAAUAAACUGCUUCUUUUUGGGUGUUCAUUUUCGUCUUAAUAAUGGUGAUUGUUAUUCACUUGGAACCAUCAUGUAAACCUAGCUGGACAUGGUCAAACUAUAAUUUUCCAUGUUUCAAAAUACUAUAUGGUUUAGUACUUCGUUCCGAGAGUCUUUCUUCCCAGAAUGGAUUUUUUCCCAGUACUCUCCUAAAUCUUUUUGGUGUCUUGAUGUGAUCUGGUCAUCAUGCAUGAACUGUAUUGAAUUCUUGUAAGGAAGCAUUUGAAUGUUACUUGUCCUGGUCUAAUUAUCUGCAAUCCACAGGUUAUGGAACUGCACUUGCAUUGGUAGCAGGAAUGACCUUGCUUGGGUGACCUUCUCUGUUAUGAUAUUGUUGUCUAAGUUAAAAAACCUGAAUCUGCUCCAUGGUUUUGUUAUGUUGGAUGUGCCCCAAGAAGCUUCUUUCUUUUGAUUUUUGUUGUCAAUAUAUUCUGUGGAUGCUCCUCGUACUCAUUAUGAGAUGUUCUUCAUAACUAUGUGAAUCACAUGAAGUUCAAAUGUUAGCAUAGCUACUAAGUUGUAUGUUCGGCAAUGACACAAUGCAUAGGUCAAGUGUUAGCUUUCUGAAACUAUUAUACUGUGAACUGAUGCUAACUUCCUCACUUUUAUUUGUAGUUUGGCCAACAUCGAGCUGCAGUACCUGGUGUCAAUGUGGAGGAAAAAACCUUAGCAAGACUAUUGACCGUCUUGCAACUCAAUUUCUUCAGAAGUGUCUUGGUCUAAGACAUGACAACUUGAGAAUUCAGAUUUUUUGUAGCGCAGAACCCAUUAGCUCCUAUCUUUGUGCUAGCUAAACUUGAACUUAAGGUGGAGUGUUGUAGUCAAAUUAUUUGUGUACUGAAUUUUUAUUCUUUUAUGUGCCUGUGGGGUCUUGCUUGAAUCUUUGUUAUGUCCUGAACAUGGUAAGCAGUUGCAUUGGCGUGUCAAUUUCUGUUCUUGUUUUCCUGCAAAAUAAUAAUAAUCUGUUCUUGUUUC